UAAGAUAGGAAGGGGAUAGGUGCAGAGACUCAAUGGAAGCUAUUCUAACGAAUGAAUCUCAUUUGGUCCAAUACUGUAUUUAUAGAACGCUCUAUUUACACCUAAAAAGUGGGAAUGUGAUAUAACAUCAGACAAAACUCGCGAUCAGAACUUGAAUCGUUCCAAGCAUCUAUUCGUAAGAUAGAUGCCAGAUUCGAGUUGAAGUACUGAUUUUACAUUAAGUAAUCCAAUUAUGAACUUCUCUACUUUAGAUAGAGAAUUGAAUCAGUUUUUGGAAUAAAUGGUUGGACGAGAAUAAAGAUAGAGUCCAAUUCUACGUGUCAAUGUCAACAACAAUGCAAAUUGCAGUAGGAGGAAAAUCCGUUGGCUUUAUAGACCGUGAGGGUUCAAGUCCCUCUAUCCCCA
rnacentral:tRNA from 1 species